UACGAAGGGGGCUAGCGUUGCUCGGAAUUACUGGGCGUAAAGGGCGCGUAGGCGGUCUGUUAAGUGUGAAGUGAAAUCUCCAGGGCUCAACCCGGAAACUGCUUCGCAUACUGGCAGGCUGGAGGAACGGAGAGGUGAGUGGAAUUCCUGGUGUACCGGUGAAAUGGGUUGAUAUCAGGAGGAACACCGAUGGCGAAGGCAGCUCACUGGCCGUUAUCUGACGCUGAGGCGCGAAAGCGUGGGUAGCAAACAGG
rnacentral:rRNA from 1 species